GACGAACGCUGGCGGCGUGCCUAAUACAUGCAAGUUGAGCGCUGAAGGUUGGUACUUGUACCAACUGGAUGAGCAGCGAACGGGUGAGUAACGCGUGGGGAGUCUGCCUUUGAGCGGGGGACAACAUUUGGAAACGAAUGCUAAUACCGCAUAAAAACUUUAAACACAAGUUUUAAGUUUGAAAGAUGCAAUUGCAUCACUCAAAGAUGAUCCCGCGUUGUAUUAGCUAGUUGGUGAGGUAAAGGCUCACCAAGGCGAUGAUACAUAGCCGACCUGAGAGGGUGAUCGGCCACAUUGGGACUGAGACACGGCCCAAACGCCUACGGGAGGCAGCAGUAGGGAAUCUUCGGCAAUGGACGAAAGUCUGACCGAGCAACGCCGCGUGAGUGAAGAAGGUUUUCGGAUCGUAAAACUCUGUUGGUAGAGAAGAACGUUGGUGAGAGUGGAAAGCUCAUCAAGUGACGGUAACUACCCAGAAAGGGACGGCUAACUACGUG
rnacentral:rRNA from 1 species